CAACGGCGGCUUGUGUGGCGUUUUAUCAGCGUUACAAGAAUGAAUUGCUCACUGACGUGAAUGGUUGGUCGAUACUAUGCGGCUGUGCGCGUGUGUUGACCGUGAAUGUGAGAACAACGCAAACGUCGCCUCGUCCGUCCCUCAGACGAGGGUCGUGAUGUCGCUGUCGCGGCUUGUCCGUUAGAGGCGUGUGUUUGCGUCCGCUAUUUGGGUGCGCUUUCGUACUGGGCGUCGUUUGGCAGGCCGAGUUAUGGAAGCGCUUUUGUGUUCCUUGGGAGCCAAAGAUUUUUUUGUGCACCAGCUGGACGACGAGCCUACUAACAAGCCGAUUUAACGGUCACGUGACCGCCCGAAGCGCGCGCGACCUGAGCAGUUAGUGUUGACCACCAUUAGGCAGGACGGUUCCGAGCCUAAGGACCCCAGCCGGGGUGCGCGCCCCCGCCCGCCAGACAGGUUUGACAAAAGUGAGUGAUGCAGGACCAGACGGCAUUCGCAAAGGUGCAUGUAUGCCAGGAAUAGAUGUCACGAGACUCCUCCCCUCGGCUAACCCCCCCGCCCCCACCCAGCCCUCGAGAGCUGAAACUAACGGUGACUAAAGUGUUCCGUUUGGUGGCAAAAAAGUGAGCGCCAAGGGAUUGAGUAAAGUGUAGCUACUCGGGGCCUGGAGUGAUGAAUGCCGGAUUCGAACCCUCCCACUGCAUGUGCUUAUUUGGGGAGAAAGAAGGAACCGUUGUGACAAGGUCACAUCUCGAUGAAAACAGAUAAAUAUUCGAUCUGAAAUGUUCUCACGGUUAUCAUUAGGGAUGUGAACGUUUCAUCGGUACAAUGUAGGCAGCGAGCUGAAGACUGACGAGCGAGUGGGGAUGCAUUUGACAAACAUUUACCGGAAAGCCCUUGCAUGCUAUGCAACACACAACACAUGCAUGUCAUGGCUGGACAUGCCUGGCAAAGCGCUUGUACAUGUGCAUGUCCCAACCUUGCAUGAUUUAUUUCAUUUGUUUAUUAUUAACAAAGAUGCAAAAAAAAAAAAAACACGAGCGAAGGUGUGUGUACAAUUGUGGUGAAACAGUCCCAACGGCUGCUCAAGCAUAAAUGACGAGAAAAAAAAAAGACGUAUUCUCUUUCAAAGAAAACAAAAAUUGUGAUGAAAAAUAAUCCGUUACACAACGUUACACAACAAAAAUUCAACGCCUACACAGGCAUUAAUUACAAGAACAGGAACAUAUUUUUGGAGGAAAAAAAUUGCGAUUAAAAAAAAAA